rnacentral:rRNA from 1 species
UCGGAUUGCAGGCUGCAACCCGCCUGCAUGAAGUUGGAAUCGCUAGUAAUCGCGGAUCAGCAUGCCGCGGUGAAUACGUUCCCGGGCCUUGUACACACCGCCCGUCACACCAUGAGAGUCGGGAACACCCGAAGUCCGUAGCCUGACCGCGAAGGGGGGCGCGGCCGAAGGUGGGUUCGAUAAUUGGGGUGAAGUCGUAACAAGGUAUC